UUGGUUGUACGUGCUCUUUCCUGCCGAUUUGUCUCUUGUCACCUGUCUUUCGUUUUUUUUUGUCGGUUUCCUUCCUCUAACAGGCCUCGUCUUUACUCUGUGUAUGCGCUCUUUCAUGUGGUUUUGUCUCCCUGUCUAAAGAAGAACAACGAGACAAACAAAGAAGGCAACACACAUCCACACCCACCCACUCACUCCCUCCCUCACACACACACAAACAAGCAUAAAAGACAGGGUUUCCGCCCGUCCUCUCUUGCACCGUCUCUCUUUCUCUCCCGUGUACGCGUGUUACUUUUUUUCCUGUUUUCGUUUUUUUUUUUACUUCGCGCGUGUGUGUGUUCGUUACUUGUGAUCGCUCGCUUUUGUGCUUUCUUUCUGUCAUUCUGCGUGUCUUCUCUGUGUGCUUGUGUCAUCGUGCUCUCCUUACGUGCAGUGCCGCAUAUCUUCUCUCCGCUCUCUUGUGCGCUUUCCGAACAAAAGAAAAACAGCCAAAAAGGAAAACUCCUUUUGAACUUCGAGAAAAAUGAUGGAGGAGCGCCACUCGCACGGGUCGAACGACGAAAUCCAAAACGGCGGCGACACCGAUAACUUCCGCCGAAACCAGGGCACGAUCCUCUUUGUUGGCAACCUCCCCUUCCAGACCCCGUGGCAGCACGUGAAGGACUACUUCCGUAACGCCGGCAAGGUGCGCUACACAGAUCUCAUCGCCGACCGCACCGGCCGCCCGAAGGGCUCGGCACUGGUCACGAUGAUGACCGUGGAAGGCGCCGAAAAUGCGAUCCGCAUGUUUAACGAGACCGACUUCGAGGGCCGCCGGCUGAUCGUGCGCAGGUUCGACGACGGCCCGCGCCCUCCGCUGGUGCAGCGGGACAUGAUGCCCGCCUACGGCAACACCGCUCCCCAGAGCCGCGGCCAGUACACGGCUGGCGGCUACUACCAGGGCGCGGCCGCUUCCGGUGCUGCGGCCGGGUACAACCGCCACAACAUGGCGGGUAGCGCCUACGGCCGUGGUGCGCCGUACCAGGUCGGUGCUGCAGAGUCGACUGAGAUGAAUGGCACGGAGCCGCUUCCCAAGCCGCGCAGCCAGCAGGUGCCAGAGGUGGGCCGUAAGCUCUUCGUCUCGAACCUCCCCUUUGACUGCACGAACAGCGCUCUCCGUGAGACGUUUCAGCAGGUGGGUCUCGUCGAGCGGGCUGAGAUCAUCCUGGGCCGCAACGGCAAGAGCCGCGGCAUGGGCAUUGUUGUCAUGAAGUCUGAGGAUGAGGCGCAGAUUGCAAUUGCCGAGUUUGACGGCAUCGAGAUGGCGAACCGCGCAAUGAACGUGCGCCUCGACAACAAGACAUUGUAGUCACGCGCGCCCACACACACACGCACACACAAACGCACGGGCCUCUGCGGAGGCGGGGGACAGCCGUGGACAUCCUCCUCCUUCGACUCCUUUUCUUCAUGAUGUGGAUUCUGGUAGCGAAGAAAGGGGCGCAACAAUAAGGAAGCCGAGCAGCUGGAGGGCAACAAACUAGUGCUUCAAGACUGAUGAAGGAGCAGAGGGGUACCGGCAGAGACUCGUGAUGACGAAACGCGUGCAACGCCUGCAGACAAGAACGGAAGGGGAAGAGAGGCGUCGAGGUGACCCACCACGAUAGGCCAGCAGACGAGGCGACAUCGGCGUGUGCGUGCGUGCGUGGAGGAGGACCUCUGUGGAUGCGCGCUGGAAUUCCUCCGCCUUGCGGUGCCGUAAAUUGUGUCUCGCCGUCUGUCAUCAUCCCAUUCUUCUGCGUGGACAGCUGUUCCUCUCUUUUUCUGUGCUUGUUGGCACCUGUGGAAGCGGGUCGUGCUGCACCGGCACGCACUCAUCGUUGCUUUAUUGAUCCCUUCGCAUCCAUGUGUGUGUAUAUGUACAGACCCUCACCCCCCGUGUUACACCCUCCUCACCACCCCAACGCACCACAUUCUUUCUUUGUCUCCGUUUCCCACCCUCUGUAUGCUGCCUUCUUUUCUUG
rnacentral:misc_RNA from 1 species